rnacentral:rRNA from 1 species
AGUAUUUGGUCGUAGACCCGAAACCAGGUGAUCUACCCUUGGUCAGGUUGAAGUUCAGGUAACACUGAAUGGAGGACCGAACCGACUUACGUUGAAAAGUGAGCGGAUGAACUGAGGGUAGCGGAGAAAUUCCAAUCGAACUUGGAGAUAGCUGGUUCUCUCCGAAAUAGCUUUAGGGCUAGCCUCAAGUGAUGAUUAUUGGAGGUAGAGCACUGUUUGGACGAGGGGCCCCUCUCGGGUUACCGAAUUCAGACAAACUCCGAAUGCCAAAUAAUUUAACUUGGGAGUCAGAAUGUGGGUGAUAAGGUCCAUAUUCGAAAGGGAAACAGCCCAGACCACCAGCUAAGGUCCCAAAAUAUAUGUUAAGUGGAAAAGGAUGUGGCGUUGCCCAGACAACUAGGAUGUUGGCUUAGAAGCAGCCAUCAUUUAAAGAGUGCGUAAUAGCUCACUAGUCGAGUGACACUGCGCCGAAAAUGUACCGGGGCUAAACAUAUUACCGAAGCUGUGGAUUGUCCUUUGGACAAUGGUAGGAGAGCGUUCUAAGGGCGUUGAAGCAUGAUCGCAAGGACAUGUGGAGCGCUUAGAAGUGAGAAUGCCGGUGUGAGUAGCGAAAGACGGGUGAGAAUCCCGUCCACCGAUUGACUAAGGUUUCCAGAGGAAGGCUCGUCCGCUCUGGGUUAGUCGGGUCCUAAGCUGAGGCCGACAGGCGUAGGCGAUGGAUAACAGG